rnacentral:lncRNA from 1 species
CCCAACGUUGUUCCUCAAGUUUUUUUUGCCUGGUCUGUAUCAAAAGACAGAAUCUUGAUGACUAAGACAUUUUCUUUGGUACCUACAAGAAGGAUCCAGCUCUCUACUUCUAUCAGCUCCUGGAUGACUACAAGAAAGGGAACCUCCACAUCAUUCCAGACACUCCUCUGGCUGAGGAGAGAUCAGGAGAUGACAGUGAUGUGUUGAUAGGUUUGAAGUCUCCAGAGCAGCAAAGAGAGUGGGGAGUAGAACUCA